UUUGGAUUUUUUCUUUUUGAACUAACUCUCACGUGACACACAGAGAUAGCUGCCAUAUUGGAUUCUUUCAUCAGGGAAUAACUUUUCUUUUAGCCUUAUCUAAUAAAACCUUCCUUGCUCCCCAAUUCAUCUGCUCAGCUAUAUAAACAUUAAACACACACAAACAAAAAAGAGAAUACGGGGGAACAAAAAGAAAAAGAACGGGAAAAGUUCGAUAGCCUAUCUUCUCGAGCCAUUAACCACCCAUGAAACUCCACUCAUCCCCUCCAUUUUAACUUCCAAAAACCAGCUCCAAAAGCCAUGAAAAUAAGUCCCAAACCCUGCUGAAAAAGUGUUGGAAAACAUGCCUAAAACCAGUCCUUCAACAGCUGCGAAACAACCCUGAACUAGCCCCAAAAUCACGCCAAACUAGCAUGAAAAUCAGCUGAAAGUAACCCCAAAAUAACUCCAUCAAACCAGCUGUGAAAACACACCAAAUCCACCUAAAAUACAGCUAUAAAACACCCCGUCAAACCACCUCGAAGAUCGCCAGUUUCACCCUUUAAAACAUGCAUAGAGAUUCCCAAAAUUGGAGUAGUUCGAGUUGAAGGUACGGACGAGUUUAAGUCGAGGUUCGAGGUCGUCAGUGAGAGAUUCAGUCCGAGUUCUGGUUGUUGACUCGUGUGCCGACUCUUGUAUUCCAAUGUUAUCAACGUUAAAGAUCUCAAUUUGAGAUCCAGGUACUUUCGGACGCGGUGAUCUCUAGAGUCUGUUGCUACCAGCUUUACGGAGACUACGAGGAAAUCGGACUUGAAGAGGCAAGAACAUGAAAAAGAUGUCAAAAACCUGAAGAAGUCAGUUUUGCGGCUGAUCUGCGACCGAAGACUAGCUAUGUGAACCGCACUUCAAUCAUAGAUGGUAUCGUGCCUGCCUGGCUUUAAGAGUUUCAAAUGCGGUUUAAUACGCGAUUGCAUAACUGAUGUGCGGACCGCAAAAUUAUGACACAAAUACAAGAGGAAUUCUAGUGAUCCAAAGAGAUGAAUCUGUGAUCUACUUUGCGGACCGCGAAAUAAUUAUGUGGAUCGCAUAACUGAUAUGCGAUGAAAAUCUGAAAUCGCUGAGGAUCAAUCUACGGUAUUGCGACAAAUGUGAAGACCGCAGAUCGUAUUCGCGGUCCAUUCCGCGACCGUAGAAGUCUCCUGGAGCCUAUUUUUGUCACAAAUUUGUCCGCAUGUUUUGGGACAUUAUAAAUAGAAGAGCUAGGAUUUUUGUUGGAAAUCUUGUAUGAAAAAGGUCCUACAUUGAGUGCAUUGAAUACUACC